ACUAGAAUAGCUCAGUUGGUUAGAGCGUGUGGACCUUAACCACAAGGUCGGAGGUUCAAGUUUUCUUUCUAGUG
rnacentral:tRNA from 1 species